GGAGUGUGAAGAUUAUCUCAGAUCCGAAUUUCCGUACCUUUUUAGCACCUAGCUUAGGAAUCGGGGAGGAGGUUCUUGUAAGGGGGAUAGGUGUGUCACACCCUGUUUUCACUUUGCCUCAACUGUAGUCUUUUCAAAUUUGGAGUUUAUUAAAACUUUCUAAGCCAAUGCGAUGAUUGCCAUUGAUUGUAUGUAUGCUUGAGUGUGUGGAUCUAAAAAUACAUUUUUA
rnacentral:lncRNA from 1 species